rnacentral:rRNA from 1 species
ACGCUCGACACCUACGGGAGGCAGCAGUGGGGAAUAUUGCACAAUGGAGGAAACUCUGAUGCAGCGAUGCCGCGUGAGGGAAGAAGGUUUUCGGAUUGUAAACCUCUGUCUUUGGGGACGAUAAUGACGGUACCCAAGGAGGAAGCUCCGGCUAACUACGUGCCAGUAGCCGCGGUAAUCUGAGCGGGCUGGCAAGGC